AAGGGGUUGUAGCUGGCCUUCACGGGCAUGUGCACACCCCACUCAUCCACUCUACACCUGUGCACUUACUGUGGGUUUCGAGCGGCCGUGCGGGUUCAUACUCGAGCGGUCAAUCGGGCCUACGUUUAUUACAAACUCUUCAGUAUCAGAAUGUGUAUCGCGAUGUAACGCAUCUAUAUACAACUUUCAGCAACGGAUCUCUUGGCUCUCGCAUCGAUGAAGAACGCAGCGAAAUGCGAUAAGUAAUGUGAAUUGCAGAAUUCAGUGAAUCAUCGAAUCUUUGAACGCACCUUGCGCUCCUUGGUAUUCCGAGGAGCAUGCCUGUUUGAGUGUCGUGUAAUUCUCAACCUAUAAAUCCUUGCGGUUUGUAGGCUUGGACUUGGAGGCUUUGCCGGCUUUACAGUCGGCUCCUCUCAAAUGCAUUAGCUUGAUUCCUUGCGGAUCGGCUCUCGGUGUGAUAAUUAUCUGCGCCGUGACCGUGAAGCGUUUGGCGAGCUUCUAACCGUCUCUUUGAGACACUUACUUUGACAUCUGACCUCAAAUCAGGUAGGACUACCCGCUGAACUUAAGCAUAUCAAUAAGCGGAGGAAAAGAAACUAACAAGGAUUCCCCUAGUAACUGCGAGUGAAGCGGGAAGAGCUCAAAUUUAAAAUCUGGCGGUCUUUGGCCGUCCGAGUUGUAGUCUGGAGAAGUGCUUUCCGCGCUGGACCGUGUACAAGUCUCUUGGAACAGAGCGUCAUAGAGGGUGAGAAUCCCGUCUUUGACACGGACUACCAGUGCUUUGUGAUGCGCUCUCAAAGAGU
rnacentral:rRNA from 1 species